rnacentral:misc_RNA from 1 species
GAUGAAGAACGUAGCGAAAUGCGAUACUUGGUGUGAAUUGCAGAAUCCCGUGAACCAUCGAGUCUUUGAACGCAAGUUGCGCCCGAAGCCAUUAGGCCGAGGGCACGCCUGCCUGGGCGUCACACGUCGUUGCCCCCCCCAUCGACUCCUUCGGGAUUGCGGGGGGCGGAUGAUGGCCUCCCGUGCGCCUCGCCGCGCGGUUGGCAUAAAUGCCAAGUCCUCGGCGAUGCACGCCACGACAAUCGGUGGUUGCGAAACCUCGGUUGCCCGUCGUGUGCGGUCGUCGCGCAUCGAGGGCUCGAAAAAAUUGCCGGGUUCCGGCUCGGCUUUCAACGCGACCCCAGGUCAGGCGGGGUUACCCGCUGAAUUUAAGCAUAUCAAUAAGCGGAGGA